rnacentral:lncRNA from 1 species
AUGGUCCCUUCAAGUCACAACCUGUUGAAAACUUAAAAACUAUCCACCCCUUGUCCUGUUGACUCCACCCAUCGCUGUUGGGCAGGGACUUCUUUGUCCAAAGCUAGGAGUUGGUGAUCCACUCCCUCCCUGCCUUUCAUUCCCUUGCUGUCCUGUAGUCCCACAACCCUAAAUGCCCCUCAGGCUUUUACUCCCUCCCAGGCAUCUGCUUUUGAUGGGUGGAGGACUUUGCAGUGGAUUGAAGUAGAAAAUUCUGAUGACUCCAGAAACCCUGCGGGCCUGGAGUGGAGCAGGUUCUGUGAUGGUUUCCAGGGCUUUUCAAAUGAGGAGGGAAAAGCAACAAAAUGAAAAUGCACGGUGCAGGGAGUCCACUAAAGCUCUGCCAGAGGCCGGGUUCUAAGGUGAGCACAGGAGGGGGCAGGGGUGACAGAGGUGGGUGUGUCUGAUGUGGCGGGUAGAGAGAGCGCCGGGAAGGGACUGAAUGG